CCUACGGGAGGCAGCAGUGGGGAAUAUUGCACAAUGGGCGGAAGCCUGAUGCAGCGACGCCGCGUGAGGGAUGACGGCCUUCGGGUUGUAAACCUCUUUCGGUAGGGACGAAGCGGAAGUGACGGUACCUACAGAAGAAGCGCCGGCCAACUACGUGCCAGCAGCCGCGGUAAGACGUAGGGCGCGAGCGUUGUCCGGAUUUAUUGGGCGUAAAGAGCUCGUAGGCGGCUUGUUGCGUCGGCUGUGAAAGCCCAUGGCUUAACUGUGGGUUGGCAGCUGAUACGGGCAGGCUGGAGUUCGGUAGGGGAGACUGGAAUUCCUGGUGUAGCGGUGAAAUGCGCAGAUAUCAGGAGGAACACCGGUGGCGAAGGCGGGUCUCUGGGCCGAUACUGACGCUGAGGAGCGAAAGCGUGGGGAGCGAACAGGAUUAGAUACCCCGG
rnacentral:rRNA from 1 species